rnacentral:rRNA from 1 species
GACGAACGCUGGCGGCGUGCUUAACACAUGCAAGUCGAACGGAAAGGCCCUGCUUUUGUCGGGUGCUCGAGUGGCGAACGGGUGAGUAACACGUGAGUAACCUGCCCUUGACUUUGGGAUAACUUCAGGAAACUGGGGCUAAUACCGGAUAGGAGCUCCUGCUGCAUGGUGGGGGUUGGAAAGUUUCGGCGGUUGGGGAUGGACUCGCGGUUUAUCAGCUUGUUGGUGGGGUAGUGGCGUACCAAGGCUUUGACGGGUAGCCGGCCUGAGAGGGUGAACGGCCACAUUGGGACUGAGAUACGGCCCAGACUCCAACGGGAGGCAGCAGUGGGGAAUAUGGCACAAUGGGGGGAAGCCUGAUGCAGCAACGCCGCGUGCGGGAUGACGGCCUUCGGGUUGUAAACCGCUUUCGCCUGUGACGAAGCGUGAGUGACGGUAAUGGGUAAAGAAGCACCGGCUAACUACGUG